rnacentral:rRNA from 1 species
UGCCAGCCGCCGCGGUAAAACGUAGGAGGCAAGCGUUAUCCGGAGUUACUGGGCGUAAAGCGCGUGUAGGCGGUUAAGUAGGUCAGAUGUGAAAGCUCCCAGGCUAAACCGGGAGAGGUCAUUUGAAACCACUGAACUAGAGGACGGCAGAGGGACAUGGAAUUCCGGGUGUAGUGGUGAAAUGCGUAGAUAUCCGGAGGAACACCAGUGGCGAAGGCGGCUUUCUGGACCAAAAUUGACGCUGAGGCACGAAAGCGUGGGUAGCAAACAGGAUUAGAUA